rnacentral:rRNA from 1 species
GACGAACGCUGGCGGCGUGCCUAAUACAUGCAAGUCGAGCGGAAGUUGGAGAGCUUGCUCUUUAACUUUAGCGGCGGACGGGUGAGUAACACGUGGGCAACCUGCCCUGCAGAUCGGGAUAACUCCGGGAAACCGGUGCUAAUACCGAAUAGUUUUCGCCACCUCCUGGUGGCGUACGGAAAGACGGUUUCGGCUGUCACUGCAGGAUGGGCCCGCGGCGCAUUAGCUAGUUGGUGGGGUAACGGCCCACCAAGGCGACGAUGCGUAGCCGACCUGAGCGGGGGAUAGGCCACACUGGGACUGAGACACGGCCCAGACGCCUACGGGAGGCAGCAGUAGGGAAUCUUCCGCAAUGGACGAAAGUCUGACGGAGCAACGCCGCGUGAGUGACGAAGGUUUUCGGAUCGUAAAACUCUGUUGUGAGGGAAGAACACGUGCGAGAGGGAAUGCUCGUACCUUGACGGUACCUUACGAGAAAGCCACGGCUAACUACGUGCCAGCAGCCGCAGUAAUAC